rnacentral:lncRNA from 1 species
UUCGUUAUUUUGUUAGUUUCAUUGAUGAUCAUUCAAGAUGUACUUGGAUAUUCUUAAUGAAAUAUCGUUCUGAGUUGUUUUCUAUAUUCCAAAAUUUUUGUGCUGAAAUUAAAAAUAAUUUGGUGUUUCUAUUCGCACCCUUUGCAGUGAUAAUGCCUUAGAAUAUUUAUCCUCUCAAUUUCAGCAGUUUAUGUCUUCUCAUGGAAUUAUUCAUCAGACCUCUUGUCCUUAUACCCCCUAUAUUCCAGAGUGAUAAUGCCUUAGAAUAUUUAUCCUCUCAAUUUCAGUAAUUUAUGACUUCUCAAGGAAUUAAUCAUCAGACCUCUUGUCCUUAUACCCCUCAGCAAAAUGGAGUUGCAGAGAGAAAGAAUAGGCACAUUGUUGAGACUGCUCGCACACUUCUCAUUGAAUCUCAUGUUCCGCCGCGUUAUUGGGGCGAUGCAGUUCUCACAUCUUGUUAUGUGGUUAAUCGGAUGCCUUCAUCUCCCAUCCAGAAUCAGAUUCCACAUGAGGUCUUGUUUCCCCAGUCACCCUUAUACUCUGU